rnacentral:sRNA from 1 species
CAAAGGGCUGGCUUCUCAGUGUGCCAAUGCUGGGCAAGAUGCUUCCCCCACUGCAGGUCCUGAGGCUGUCCGUGACACUGUGAUCCACUCAGAAGAGUUGCUGCAACCCUACCCUUCUGCUCCCAGUUCUGGCCCUGCCGUCACGAACGUAAUUUGUUUCUGAGUGUGAAGAUCCGCAAGUCGAACAGAAGUUGAGUUUCCAUUAUUUUGUAUGACUCUGCUAGGGCAAGCAAGGGAGAGAGGAGAGUUGAAGGUGUGCCUUGGAGCACCGCAGGUGACAUCUGAUGCCCCCAGUGAAGAAAAGCCAACAGCAGCAAAGCCUGAUGGAGAGCAUGCAGCCCGGGAAGCCCAGUGACUGGGAGCUGGAGGGCAGGAAGCACGAGCGGCCCGAGAGCCUUCUGGCACCGACGCAGUUCUGCGCGGCCGAGCAGGACGUGAAGGCGCUGGCCGGGCCCCUGCAGGCCAUUCCGGAGAUGGACUUCGAGCCCUCUCCGGCGGAGCCGCUGGG